GCGGAGGCGGAGGUGGAGGUGGUGGAGGCGGCACAAUAGUCGUCAUCCCUAUCAAGACUAAGCCAGUUUACGGGGGUGGAGGUGGAUACCCAGGAGGUGGUGGUAGCUACUAUCCAGGAGGCGGUGGUGGCGGUGGACACUAUGGCGGCGGAGGUGGCUGUGCUAGCGGCAACUGUGGAGGCGGUGGAGGAUAUCCAUCAGGGGGUGGAGGUGGACACUAUGGCGGCGGAGGUGGUGGCUAUCCGUCAGGGGGUGGAGGUGGCUACCCGUCUGGUGGCAACCACAUAGGUGGUGGAGGUGGCGGAUGUUCCACCUGUGGUGGCGGCGGGGGCGGACAUAGUGGCGGGGGCGGUGGCUCAUACUCUCAAUCUUCUGCGUCCUCUUCUGCCCAAAGCUCCUCAGGCUCCUUCUCCGGAGGAUGGUGAUGACUGUGUAAUGACCUUGAACUUCCUAAAAGGUCAAACUGCUCAAGGAUCAAGCUGCGCGUCAUCCUCUCUCCUCGAUUUUCCCGGUGAACCUCACAAUAAAUGUUUUGUAC